UUUUCUACGCUCAUAUCGUCUAUCUUGCUCGUCGUGCAAGACAAUAUCUACACUCUUAAACUCAAGCUGACUGGUUUUCUUUUAAUUUGUCCACCUUCCUUAUUUGGUAAGUUCUUGACAAGCUAAAAAGAGAACCCCAAUUCCCAAAGAAGGAAAUCGGCCGACAACUCCUAAAAAAGCCAUCAAACCAAGAAAAUCAACGAACCCCUUACAUAUUGGAAUUUCCCGUUAUAUCGUUGGUUUCUCGCCGUAGGUAUUUUUCUCACUUGUUUGUUGGUCUACAACAGUGUGUGCGGGCGUGAAAAUGGGGUCCUUAGAGCUAUACCAAGUCGUUGAUUCUGACAACCCAUUUUGACAACUCUGCUUUUGAGGUAUAAGGAUUUACCCAGUCUUUUAAGCUGUUAAAAGCAACUUGCCAUCUUCCGGUAAGGUGUAGUUAAGGUUGUUCGAGUUGCGCUCGAUUCUGGUUAAAGGGCGAGGUCGCCGUUUUGAGUUCUACGUUGAAGGUUUCCGGUCAAGAGGUCCGUUGCCGUGGUCCUGUCGGUUUCACUUUCAAGGCCAGUAAGGAUCAAGCUCUUAUAAAGGCCCGUUGAAGAAAGUUUAUUGCCUGAAGUUCUCACUGCUCAAAGCUUGAAGCUUUGGUCCUUAUAUGGCUGAGUGGAACCUUUGUUUGGUCUGCUGCACCAAACGAGAUUUGGACCAUUUGGAGUUGACUACUCGUGGCAAGAGCAUGGUUUCAG